rnacentral:SRP_RNA from 1 species
GCAAGCCGCUCGUGCGGCGACACCUCAUGAACCUCCCCAGGGCCGGAAGGCAGCAAGGAUAAGUGAGCUCUGUCGGGUGCACGAGCGGUGUCUUCU